GACGAACGCUGGCGGCGUGCUUAACACAUGCAAGUCGAACGGAAAGGCCCUUCGGGGUACUCGAGUGGCGAACGGGUGAGUAACACGUGGGUGAUCUGCCCUGCACUUUGGGAUAAGCCUGGGAAACUGGGUCUAAUACCGAAUAGGACCACGCGCUUCAUGGUGUGUGGUGGAAAGCUUUUGCGGUGUGGGAUGGGCCCGCGGCCUAUCAGCUUGUUGGUGGGGUAAUGGCCUACCAAGGCGACGACGGGUAGCCGGCCUGAGAGGGUGACCGGCCACACUGGGACUGAGAUACGGCCCAGACUCCUACGGGAGGCAGCAGUGGGGAAUAUUGCACAAUGGGCGCAAGCCUGAUGCAGCGACGCCGCGUGAGGGAUGACGGCCUUCGGGUUGUAAACCUCUUUCAAUAGGGACGAAGCGCAAGUGACGGUACCUAUAGAAGAAGCACCGGCCAACUACGUGCCAGCAGCCGCGGUAAUACGUAGGGUGCGAGCGUUGUCCGGAUUACUGGGCGUAAAGAGCUCGUAAGUGGUUUGUCGCGUUGUUCGUGAAAACUCACAGCUUAACUGUGGGCGUGCGGGCGAUACGGGCAGACUAGAGUACUGCAGGGGAGACUGGAAUUCCUGGUGUAGCGGUGGAAUGCGCAGAUAUCAGGAGGAACACCGGUGGCGAAGGCGGGUCUCUGGGCAGUAACUGACGCUGAGGAGCGAAAGCGUGGGGAGCGAACAGGAUUAGAUACCCUGGUAGUCCACGCCGUAAACGGUGGGUACUAGGUGUGGGUUCCUUCCUUGGGAUCCGUGCCGUAGCUAACGCAUUAAGUACCCCGCCUGGGGAGUACGGCCGCAAGGCUAAAACUCAAAGGAAUUGACGGGGGCCCGCACAAGCGGCGGAGCAUGUGGAUUAAUUCGAUGCAACGCGAAGAACCUUACCUGGGUUUGACAUGCACAGGACGCCGGCAGAGAUGUCGGUUCCCUUGUGGCCUGUGUGCAGGUGGUGCAUGGCUGUCGUCAGCUCGUGUCGUGAGAUGUUGGGUUAAGUCCCGCAACGAGCGCAACCCUUGUCCUAUGUUGCCAGCGGGUUAUGCCGGGGACUCGUAGGAGACUGCCGGGGUCAACUCGGAGGAAGGUGGGGAUGACGUCAAGUCAUCAUGCCCCUUAUGUCCAGGGCUUCACACAUGCUACAAUGGCCGGUACAAAGGGCUGCGAUGCCGUGAGGUGGAGCGAAUCCUUUCAAAGCCGGUCUCAGUUCGGAUCGGGGUCUGCAACUCGACCCCGUGAAGUCGGAGUCGCUAGUAAUCGCAGAUCAGAAACGCUGCGGUGAAUACGUUCCCGGGCCU
rnacentral:rRNA from 1 species